rnacentral:misc_RNA from 1 species
GAUGAAGAACGUAGCGAAAUGCGAUAAGUAAUGUGAAUUGCAGAAUUCAGUGAAUCAUCGAAUCUUUGAACGCACAUUGCGCCCGCCAGUAUUCUGGCGGGCAUGCCUGUUCGAGCGUCAUUUCAACCAUCAAGCCCCCGGGCUUGUGUUGGGGACCUGCGGCUGCCGCAGGCCCUGAAAAGCAGUGGCGGGCUCGCUGUCACACCGAGCGUAGUAGAUUUUAUCUCGCUCAGGGCGUGCUGCGGGUUCCGGCCGUUAAACCCCCUACUUUUAAAGGUUGACCUCGGAUCAGGUAGGAAUACCCGCUGAACUUAAGCAUAUCAAUAAGCGGAGGA